rnacentral:rRNA from 1 species
UACGGGGGGGGCAAGCGUUGUUCGGAAUUACUGGGCGUAAAGGGCUCGUAGGCGGCCAACUAAGUCAGACGUGAAAUCCCUCGGCUUAACCGGGGAACUGCGUCUGAUACUGGAUGGCUUGAGAUUGGGAGAGGGAUGCGGAAUUCCAGGUGUAGCGGUGAAAUGCGUAGAUAUCUGGAGGAACACCGGUGGCGAAGGCGGCAUCAUGGACCAACACUGACGCUGAGGAGCGAAAGCCAGGGGAGCAAACGGG